rnacentral:rRNA from 1 species
GUACUGCGGAAGAUCAUG